rnacentral:rRNA from 1 species
UCUGGUUGAUCCUGCCAGUAGUCAUAUGCUUGUCUCAAAGACUAAGCCAUGCAUGUCUAAGUAUGAAUGAUACAUAGUGAAACUGCGAAUGGCUCAUUAAAACAGUUAUAGUUUAUUUGAUAAUCAAAUUUACAUGGAUAACCGUGGUAAUUCUAGAGCUAAUACAUGCUGUUUGGCCUGACUUUUAGGAAGGGCUGUAUUUAUUAGAUAACAAACCAAUAACGGGUAACGGAGGAUUAGGGUUCGAUUCCGGAGAGGGAGCCUGAGAAACGGCUACCACAUCUAAGGAAGGCAGCAGGCGCGUAAAUUACCCAAUCCUAAUUCAGGGAGGUAGUGACAAGAAAUAACGGACUGAGGCUUAUGCCUCAGGAUUGCAAUGAGUAGAAUUUAAACCCCUUUAUGAGGAUCAAUUGGAGGGCAAGUCUGGUGCCAGCAGCCGCGGUAAUUCCAGCUCCAAUAGCAUAUAUUAAAGUUGUUGCAGUUAAAAAGCUCGUAGUUGAAUUUCUGGAGGGAUCCCAAUGUCGGCUUGAUGCUUGUGCAGCGGGGUCCUUCCAUCCUUCUGUUAACGUUUCACGGUAUUAACUUACUGGUUGCGGGCUCAGAUAUUUUACCUUGAGAAAAUUAGAGUGUUUCAGGCAGGCUUGCGCUUGAAUACAUUAGCAUGGAAUAAUAGAAUAGGACUUUAGUCUCCUUUGUUGGUUUGAGGGACUGGAGUAAUGAUUAAUAGGGACAGUUGGGGGCAUUAGUAUUUAAUUGUCAGAGGUGAAAUUCUCGGAUUUGUUAAAGACUAACUUAUGCGAAAGCAUUUGCCAAGGAUGUUUUCAUUAAUC